rnacentral:ribozyme from 16 species
GAAAGAAAGUUAGAAAGAAAGUUAGGAAGUCAAUCACUCAAUCUGAUUUUACUUUUGUAUUUCUCAUUUUUGAUUUGAUUUUUC